AUUGAACGCUGGCGGCAGGCCUAACACAUGCAAGUCGAGCGGAUGAAGGGAGCUUGCUCCUGGAUUCAGCGGCGGACGGGUGAGUAAUGCCUAGGAAUCUGCCUGGUAGUGGGGGAUAACGUCCGGAAACGGGCGCUAAUACCGCAUACGUCCUGAGGGAGAAAGUGGGGGAUCUUCGGACCUCACGCUAUCAGAGGAGCCUAGGUCGGAUUAGCUAGUUGGUGGGGUAAAGGCCUACCAAGGCGACGAUCCGUAACUGGUCUGAGAGGAUGAUCAGUCACACUGGAACUGAGACACGGUCCAGACUCCUACGGGAGGCAGCAGUGGGGAAUAGUGGACAAUGGGCGAAAGCCUGAUCCAGCCAUGCCGCGUGUGUGAAGAAGGUCUUCGGAUUGUAAAGCACUUUAAGUUGGGAGGAAGGGCAGUAAGUUAAUACCUUGCUGUUUUGACGUUACCAACAGAAUAAGCACCGGCUAACUUCGUG
rnacentral:rRNA from 1 species